GGUAUAGCUAAAUUGGUAGAGCGUGAGACUCUUAAUCUCAGGGUUGUGGCUUUGAACCCUAUGCUGGCCA